rnacentral:rRNA from 1 species
UGUACCUACGGGACGCAGCAGUAGGGAAUUUUCGUCAAUGGGCGCAAGCCUGAACGAGCGAUGCCGCGUGAGUGAAGAAGGCCUUCGGGUCGUAAAGCUCUGUUGCGGGGGAAAAAAGGCAGCAUCAGGAAAUGGGUGCUGACUGAUGGUGCCCCGCCAGAAAGUCACGGCUAACUACGUGCCAGCAGCCGCGGUAAUACGUAGGUGGCGAGCGUUAUCCGGAAUGAUUGGGCGUAAAGGGUGCGCAGGCGGUCCCGAAAGCCGGGAGUGAAAUGCAUGAG